rnacentral:rRNA from 1 species
ACAUCCAGAGAAUUUAGCAGAGAUGCUUUAGUGCCUUCGGGAACUCUGAGACAGGUGCUGCAUGGCUGUCGUCAGCUCGUGUUGUGAAAUGUUGGGUUAAGUCCCGCAACGAGCGCAACCCUUAUCCUUUGUUGCCAGCGCGUAAUGGCGGGAACUCAAAGGAGACUGCCGGUGAUAAACCGGAGGAAGGUGGGGAUGACGUCAAGUCAUCAUGGCCCUUACGAGUAGGGCUACACACGUGCUACAAUGGCGCAUACAAAGAGAAGCGACCUCGCGAGAGCAAGCGGACCUCAUAAAGUGCGUCGUAGUCCGGAUUGGAGUCUGCAACUCGACUCCAUGAAGUCGGAAUCGCUAGUAAUCGUAAAUCAGAAUGUUACGGUGAAUACGUUCCCGGGCCUUGUACACACCGCCCGUCACACCAUGGGAGUGGGUUGCAAAAGAAGUAGAUAGCUUAACCUUCGGGAGGGCGUUUACCACUUUGUGAUUCAUGACUGGGGUGAAGUCGUAACAAGGUAAGCGUAGCGAG